rnacentral:lncRNA from 1 species
GCUGGAGGAAAAUCUUCAAGUCGCAGUAAAUGGCUAAUAAGUUCGGGAGAUAAGAUUUAGGGACAGUUUUGAAGGUCGCCAUCUGCUUGGAGGUGAAUGAGAGGAUGAGGUCCUGGUGCGUGUGCAUUUAGAAUCAUCUGCGCCUCCGGAUCCAAGCUGAAAUGGAAAAAUCGAACUGAAUCUACACCCCACUGCCCUAACUCCUGCUAGACUAAAGGAGGAAAUCAACGUGCCGCACACCUCUCACAGUCCCGAGACAGCGAGCGCAGCCCGGAGAGGUCAUUCUGUUCCUCAGUGUGAAUCCGCUUGCCACUCCCGUUUGGAACCAGAGCUCUGGAGAGCCUCGGUAGCGCAUUGCUGGGGACGCGAAAGCAAAGGUCUUGAUGGUGUUUCUUCCAAUCUUGAGAUGUUGAUUUUGCUGUCCCGAAUGUCACAUGAUGUGCCUCUUCAUAGUCCUGUACUCAAGCCAUUGUAG